rnacentral:pre_miRNA from 1 species
AGUGAGAUAGCUAGGUCAAAUGGUGGUUCCAUUCUAAUUUCUGAGGACUCUCCAUAUUGCUUUCCAUUGUGGUUGCACCAAUUUGUAGUCCCAACAGCAAU